UUCGGUUGAGGGCACGUCUGCCUGGGCGUCACGCAUCACGUCGCUCCCACCAUACCUUCCUUCGGGAUGCUAGGUUGGGGGCGGAUAAUGGCCUCCCGUUCCUCACCGAGCGGUUGGCCAAAAUAAAAGUCCCCUUUGAUGGAUGCACGACUAGUGGUGGUUGACAAAACCCGUUAUUGUGUCGUGUGUCUUGUCAAAAGGUUGCAACUUAAUAG
rnacentral:misc_RNA from 1 species